AUGAGGAAAAUCUGGAUGCAACAUCUGUCACUGUAUGAACCACCAGGGAUAAUUCAGCUGAUCUACCUACAUAAACAGGAAAUCCCAUCUUUCCCCAUCAC
rnacentral:sRNA from 1 species